UGGGGCGUCGCCAAGCGGUAAGGCACCGGACUCUGACUCCGGCAUCGUUGGUUCGAAUCCAGCCGCCCCAGCCA
rnacentral:tRNA from 1 species